UACGGGGGGGGCAAGCGUUGUUCGGAAUUACUGGGCGUAAAGGGCGCGUAGGCGGUUUGCUAAGUUGGAUGUGAAAACUCUGGGCUUAACCCAGAGCCUGCAUCCAAAACUAGCAAGCUAGAGUUCUGGAGGGGAUAGCGGAAUUCCUGGUGUAGCGGUGAAAUGCGUAGAUAUCAGGAGGAACACCGGUGGCGAAGGCGGCUAUCUGGACAGAAACUGACGCUGAGGCGCGAAAGCUAGGGGAGCAAACAGG
rnacentral:rRNA from 1 species